rnacentral:rRNA from 1 species
AGGAUGAACGCUGGCGGCGUGCCUAAUACAUGCAAGUCGAGCGGCAGCGGGCUCACUAUUUUCUUGUCACCAGAGGUAACACUCAUGGAUGACGACGAGGAAAGAGUGAGCGCCGGCGAGCGGCGGACGGCUGAGUAACGCGUGGGAACGUGCCCCAAAGUGAGGAAUAACUGCCCGAAAGGGU